AUUGAACGCUGGCGGCAUGCUUUACACAUGCAAGUCGAACGGUAACAGGCCGCAAGGUGCUGACGAGUGGCGAACGGGGGAGUAAUGCAUCGGAACGUGCCCAGUCGUGGGGGAUAACGCAGCGAAAGCUGCGCUAAUACCGCAUCCGACAUAUGGUUGAAAGCGGGGGACCGUAAGGCCUCGCGCGAUUGGAGCGGCCGAUGUCGGAUUAGGUAGUUGGUGGGGUAAAGGCUCACCAAGACAACGAUCUGUAGCUGGUCUGAGAGGACGACCAGCCACACGGGGACUGAGACACGGCCCAGACUCCUACGGGAGGCAGCAGUGGGGAAUUUUGGACAAGGGGCGCAAGCCUGAUCCAGCAAUGCCGCGUGCAGGAAGAAGGCCUUCGGGUUGUAAACUGCUUUUGUACGGAACGAAAAGGCUCUGGCUAAUACCUGGGGCUCAUGACGGUACCCACAGAAAAAGUUCCGGCUAACUACGUGCCAGCCGCCGCAGUAAUAC
rnacentral:rRNA from 1 species